CGGAUUGGCGGAGCGCGUUUGCUGGGGAAAGGCGGAGCACUGGCAGCCGUGGGCCCACGCCGCGGCGGCUCGCGCAGGGGCAGAGGUGUAGUGGUUGUGUCGACGAGCGUGUUGAAGCUGUGUAAGAGGUGAUCUACAUUACAGUGCAAGUUAUGCCAGCACGGGGCCAGUGGCGCAAUGGAUAACGCGUCUGACUACGGAUCAGAAGAUUCUAGGUUCGACUCCUGGCUGGCUCGAGAGCGGAAGCCCAUGUGGUGAAAUGGAAAGCGGCGCAGUCCCAGUUUCCCAGGAUGGGGUGGGCUCCCGCUCUACCCCUCUGCGGAGAAGGAAACCCUGCAGCGCGCCUGCGCGCGUUAGAGGGGUCCGCAAAGUGUCCGGAGUCUACAGCCCCGUCCUCGGAGCUCCGGGUCCAGAGGUGCCUGGCUCGAAGAACUGAGGCGGCCCGAAAUGUCUACCGCAGACGGGACUCGAACCUAAGGAAUGGCUGAGACGUCGAACACUGUCCGUUAACCAACCAAUCGAUCAAUCAAUUAUCUCUCUAAUAUGUUUUUUCCUCCUGAAGAAAUUUUAGAAAAUUUGUAAAAUACAGAAAGUUAUUGGGAAUAAAAAUAACGCGAAUUCCCAUCCCGAGAUUAUUACAUCCCAUCAUUUUUUUCCCUAUAGACUUUUUUUUCUUCCACACUUUUUAAAAUAUGGGUAUACCUAUACCCAUAUUUUUCCAAAUUUGGGGUUGUGCUAGAAAUGCCUUUGUGUUCUCAUUUUGUCCCCGUAGCUUUUUGUCUGAGAUUUAAGGUCAUUAAAUAUUGUCUGCAGAUAUCCCAUUGGAGAACUAGGUAUUUUAAGCACUACCCUUUUGUUGGGAAUCUGGGUUAUUGUCAGUUUAACACUUUAUAAAAAUAACCCUCUGUGGAAUUAUUUCUGAAUGUCUUAUAAAUUUCUAGAUGUGCAAUGAUCAGAUGGACAUUUUUAACGUCCAUUUCAUGGACAUUUUAAAGACUUUUGGUACGUAUUUUCAAAUUGCCCCCCCCAAAAAGUAAACCAAUACACACUUCCAUCAACAGCAUGUUUCCUUGCAUGCUAACCCACACUGAGUAUUAUAAAUUUCAUUAUGAUUUCUUUGCAAUUUUCAUAAUUGAAAAACAGAACUUCCUUUUACUUAUUACUUGAUGUAUAUAUUUUCUCUUGAUGUGUGUACUCCAUUUUUUCUUAUACAUUUGUUAGACUUUUUAAUAUAUUAAGGAUAUGAAUUCUGGCUAUCAAACACAUUACAAUCUUUUUCCAGUUUAUCAUUUACCUUUUCCUUAUAAUACUUUUGAACCUAGGGUAAUUUUCACUUUUAUAUAUUCCAAUUUACCAAGAUUUACUUUACGGUUUCUUCUAUUGCCUAUGUACUCUUUUGAAAAUGUUUUUUG